UGGAGCCUCCCUUAGUCCAGCAGCCCCUGGUGCCAACCCCUCUUUUUUGAUUGAAUAUUUGUUUCAGCCAAGUGGGAACCAAAUAUUAAAUCUAACUCCUGCCAGUGCCAACCAGUCAGCUAGCAAAGCAUGCCAUGGGUGUGGUUCCUUGAAAAGCCAGCGCAAUGAAUCUUAAGGUGGAUUACUUUGAAGCAGAAAUGAUACAAAGUCAGAAGAUACCUUAUGAUUUUCACUUCCUUUUAUCCACAACCACAAUUCUGAUGCAACAGAAUACAGAAACUAUGUCUUAGCCAAUUUUUCUUUCUAAGAUACAGCUCUUCAGCAGGUAAGUACCUUGAUAACAGUUUUGGUGGGCAUUGGUUCAGUAAUGCUAUUUCCAUAGUUCAUUAAAAAAAACCAAGAAGAAAACAAAGGAGGAA